rfam:Oryza rufipogon genomic scaffold, chr09
AAAAAGGCAAACCCUAUGUUUCCGUGUCAACGUUUGACUGUUCGUCUUAUAUGAAAUUUUGUUAUAAUUAGUAUUUUUAUUAUUGUUAGAUGAUAAAACAUGAUUAAUACUUUAUGCGUGACUUGUUUUUCUAAUUUUUUUUAUAUUUUUUUUAAAUAAGACGGAUGGUCAAACGUUGGACAUGGAAACCAGGGUUUGUCUUUUU